rnacentral:rRNA from 1 species
CGUAGGGGGCGAGCGUUGUCCGAGGUUACUAGGGCGUAAAGAGCUCGUAGGCGGCUCGUCGCGUCGACCGUGAAAACCCGCGGCUUAACUGCGGGCUUGCGGUUGAUACGGGCGGGCUAGAGUUCGUAGGGGAGACUGGAAUUCCUGGUGUAGCGGUGAAAUGCGCAGAUAUCAGGAGGAACACCGGUGGCGAAGGCGGGUCUCUGGGCCGAUACUGACGCUGAGGAGCGAAAGCGUGGGGAGCGAACAGGAUUAGAUACCCUGGUAGUCCACGCUGUAAACGUUGGGCGCUAGGUGUGGGGGGCCUCUCCGGUUCUCUGUGCCGCAGCUAACGCAUUAAGCGCCCCGCCUGGGGAGUACGGCCGCAAGGCUA